GUGAGUGUUUCUUUGGCAGUGUCUUAGCUGGUUGUUGUGAACAAUAGUCAAGGAAGCAAUCAGCAAGUAUACUGCCCUAGAAGUGCUACAC
rnacentral:pre_miRNA from 17 species